AUGGGUGCCACCGUGAGCCGAUCGGCGCGUAUGACGUCCGACGACUUGCCGGUCUUGUGGUACUCCAAGCUGGUGCGGUCACGUCGCGUGCUGAAUGUGGGCAAAGUCUUCUUCGACGGCCUCGUCUGCAACGUCGAAAUUUUGCCCAUGUGUUUCGACAAGGACGGCCUAGCCAACGUCUUGAUCGUCUCGGUGGGCGUCAUGUUGGAUCGUCACCUCAGAUCGUUCGCCGGCACCCACGUCUCCCUCGAAAUCUUGGACGCGACCGGCCAGCACACCGUCUUCCACAAAGACAGUGACCAAGAAGAGGACAGUUUCUACUGGCUGACCAUGUACGUGCGCAGGUGCGAGCUGGAGGCGUCGUCGUGCGUGUCUGCCAGCGACAGAUUAACCAUCCGGUGCACUCUGGAGAAGAAGCAGCAGGUAACAAAGCGGCCGCACCUGCUCGGAAUCUUGUUCAAACCCAACGCGGUUCAGGAGCCGCCGCAGGUCGCCAUGGACGGGUCCCACACGCUCACCGUCGGCAGCUUCUCCGAGCUCAGCGCGGCGCUUCGUGCCGAAGGGGACGGUAUCUACUCCAGGCACUUCGCCAUAGGGGGGAGCAGAUGGUACAUCAAAUUCUGCCCCAAAUAUCACGGACGGUCCUUCUUGUGCCUCGGCCGCGGCCGCAUGGGCAAGGGCGAGAUGCCGAUGACGGUAGAGUUCAGCUUCGACCUCAAAGGGGUGGUGAACCACCAGUCCCAGAAGAUGACGCACACGUUCGACCGUGACAACGAUGACUUCUUCUACGAUCUAGAGCAAAUUAGAAGAACGUCGCCCAUGCAGGACGACAGCCUCCUUGUUCGGUGCUGCCUCACCGUUGUCAUGCCGGAGGAGACUCCCAUCGCCGUCCCAGUGUGCAGCAGCGAAUCAGUGCUCACUCCUCUACUCAGCGCCAUGCAUGGCUAG
rnacentral:rRNA from 1 species